rnacentral:rRNA from 1 species
CUCAGAAACGAACGCUGGCGGCAGGCCUAAACACAUGCAAGUCGAACGGAUCCUUCGGGAUUAGUGGCAGACGGGUGAGUAACGCGUGGGAAGCUACCUUGUGGUAGGGAACAACAGUUGGAAACGACUGCUAAUACCCUAUGAGCCCUAUGGGGGAAAGAUUUAUCGCCAUGAGAUGUGCCCGCGUUAGAUUAGCUAGUUGGUAAGGUAAUGGCUUACCAAGGCGACGAUCUAUAGCUGGUCUGAGAGGAUGAUCAGCCACACUGGGACUGAGACACGGCCCAGACUCCUACGGGAGGCAGCAGUGGGGAAUAUUGGACAAUGGGGGCAACCCUGAUCCAGCCAUGCCGCGUGUGUGAUGACGGCCUUAGGGUUGUAAAGCACUUUCAGCAGUGAAGAUAAUGACAUUAACUGCAGAAGAAGCCCCGGCUAACUUCGUGCCAGCAGCCGCGGUAAUACGAAGGGGGCUAGCGUUGUUCGGAAUCACUGGGCGUAAAGCGUACGUAGGCGGACUGAUCAGUCAGGGGUGAAAUCCCGGGGCUCAACCCCGGAACUGCCUUUGAUACUGUCAGUCUUGAGAUCGAGAGAGGUGAGUGGAACUCCGAGUGUAGAGGUGAAAUUCGUAGAUAUUCGGAAGAACACCAGUGGCGAAGGCGGCCUCACCUGGCUCGAUAMCUGA